rnacentral:lncRNA from 1 species
GAGAGAGCAAGGGGGUAGGUGCUACACAGUUUCAAAUGACCAGAUCUCAGAAGAACUGACUCACUAUUGCAAGGACGGUACCAUGGGAGAUGCCGCUAAACCAUGAGUAAUCCUCCCCUGUGAUCCAAUCAUCUCCCUUUCAGUCCCCACUUCCCACACUGGGGAUUAGAUUUCAAUGAGAUGUGAGCAGGGACACACAUCCAAACUACAUCAGCAGAUAUAUAUUAGAAAUAGAAGGCAGAAAGCUUGGAGAACAAGAUGACAAAAUGGGCAGACAAAGCACUUCCAUUGGUCAUGGAAAAAAGGUCUAAAUCCGUGUCUUCUCUGCUUACAAGUCUUGCCUGGGAGCAAUGGAAGAGAAUGUAUACAAUCAUGAAACAAAAUAUGGCAUUUUCUGAAUGCAGCUCACAUUACCCCAAAUAAACAAACAGGCUCUGUCAAACAACCUUCUUCAAAAUGAUACCACAAUCCUUUAUUGCUGCCCAGGCAGAACAAAUGCACUAUGUCAAAGCAUUUUUUGCAAAUAAGAGUCGAUUGUAAAAUUGAGGAUUGCUAUUUGAGUCUGUACAACAAAAGAAAACAUUUUAGUACAGUAAUUUUGAUGAAAAUCAAUAUCAAAGGUAGCUGAUGAAACUUUAAAGAGCUUAACAUUAUUUAUUUGCCAAGUAUAUUAUUUAAUUUUUAAUUGAAUGUUAGACAUGUCAUAUGGGGUUAUUUUUUGCAAAAAUUAUAUGUUGCCACUUAUAUGUAUUAGUCUUAUCAAUAAAAUUCUCUGAAAUGCCUUUCACCCUAUGCU